ensembl:lncRNA
GAUCUCGGCAUUCUUUGUACUCUGCAGCCUUGAGACUUCAAGGGCAGAAGCCCACGUGCCCAGGUGACCACCAGUCUACCCACCUGCCUGGCAAGACUCAAACUGAUACAUCCAUUCUUCCGGUCUCAAAGCUGCUGACCUUUGAACAAGAACUAUGCCAUGAGCUCUCUUGAUUCUAGGCUUCCAGGAUAUGUGACCCUCAAAGCUUCCUGCUCCCAAGAGUGAUGUCGUCAAAGAUCAUCUGAGAACUUGUACAUUGCCUUUUACGACUACAUUCCAGGACCUAAUUUCAUUUUGUAAGUUCC